UUCGUAGGUGGCCGGCUAAGUCAGACGUGAAAUCCCUCAGCUUAACUGGGGAACUGCGUCUGAGACUGGUGGGCUUGAGUGCAGGAGAGGAACGCGGAAUUCCAGGUGUAGCGGUGAAAUGCGUAGAUAUCUGGAGGAACACCGGUGGCGAAGGCGGCGUUCUGGACUGCAACUGACACUGAGGAACGAAAGCCAGGGAGCAAACG
rnacentral:rRNA from 1 species